UACGUAGGGGCCUAGCGUUGUCCGGAAUUAUUGGGCGUAAAGAGCUCGUAGGCGGUUCGAUAAGUCGGGUGUGAAACCUCCAGGCUCAACCUGGAGACGCCACCCGAUACUGUCGUGACUAGAGUCCAGUAGGGGAGCGUGGGAAUUCCUGGUGUAGCGGUGAAAUGCGCAGAUAUCAGGAGGAACACCAGCGGCGAAGGCGGCGCUCUGGGCUGGCACUGACGCUGAGGAGCGAAAGCGUGGGUAGCGAACAGG
rnacentral:rRNA from 1 species